rnacentral:rRNA from 1 species
GAUGAACGCUAGCGGCAGGCUUAACACAUGCAAGUCGAGGGGUAGAAAUAGCUUGCUAUUUUGAGACCGGCGCACGGGUGCGUAACGCGUAUGCAAUCUGCCUUGUACUGGGGAAUAGCCCGGAGAAAUCCGGAUUAAUGCCCCAUGGUAUUUUUGUGUGGCAUCACACGAUUAUUAAAGAUUUAUCGGUACAAGAUGAGCAUGCGUCCCAUUAGUUAGUUGGUGUGGUAACGGCACACCAAGACGAUGAUGGGUAGGGGUCCUGAGAGGGAGAUCCGCCACACUGGUACUGAGACACGGACCAGACUCCUACGGGAGGCAGCAGUGGGGAAUAUUGGUCAAUGGGCGCAAGCCUGAACCAGCCAUGCCGCGUGCAGGAUGACGGCCCUAUGGGUUGUAAACUGCUUUUAUACGGGAAGAAACACCUCUUCGUGAAGAGGCUUGACGGUACCGUAAGAAUAAGGAUCGGCUAACUCCGUGCCAGCCGCCGCCGUAACAC